GUGGCUGUAGCUCAGUCGGUUAGAGCGUCUGGCUGUGGCCCAGAAGGUCGGGGGUUCGAGCCCCCUCAGCCACCCCA
rnacentral:tRNA from 1 species